rnacentral:misc_RNA from 1 species
UAAGUGUUGAGAUGGCUAACCAGGG